GAUGAACGCUGGCGGCGUGCCUAAUACAUGCAAGUCGAGCGAACAGACGAGGAGCUUGCUCCUCUGACGUUAGCGGCGGACGGGUGAGUAACACGUGGAUAACCUACCUAUAAGACUGGGAUAACUUCGGGAAACCGGAGCUAAUACCGGAUAAUAUAUUGAACCGCAUGGUUCAAUAGUGAAAGACGGUUUUGCUGUCACUUAUAGAUGGAUCCGCGCCGCAUUAGCUAGUUGGUAAGGUAACAGCUUACCAAGGCAACGAUGCGUAGCCGACCUGAGAGGGUGAUCGGCCACACUGGAACUGAGACACGGCCCAGACUCCUACGGGAGGCAGCAGUCGGGAAUCUUCCGCAAUGGGCGAAAGCAUGACGGAGCAACGCCGCGUGAGUGAUGAAGGUCUUCGGAUCGUAAAACUCUGUUAUUAGGGAAGAACAAAUGUGUAAGUAACUAUGCACGUCUUGACGGUACCUAAUCAGAAAGCCACGGCUAACUACGUG
rnacentral:rRNA from 1 species